rnacentral:misc_RNA from 1 species
AACCAUAGAAACCUGCGGAGUACCUGCGGAAGGAUCAUUACCGAGUGCGGGUCCUCGUGGCCCAACCUCCCACCCGUGACUAUUGUACCUUGUUGCUUCGGCGGGCCCGCCAGCCCUGCUGGCCGCCGGGGGGCGUCUCGCCCCCGGGCCCGUGCCCGCCGGAGACCCCAACAUGAACCCUGUUCUGAAGGCUUGCAGUCUGAGUGUGAUUCUUUGCAAUCAGUUAAAACUUUCAACAAU